AUUGAACGCUGGCGGCAGGCCUAACACAUGCAAGUCGAGCGAGCGGCGGACGGGUGAGUAAUGUAUGGGGAUCUGCCCGAUAGAGGGGGAUAACUACUGGAAACGGUGGCUAAUACCGCAUACCAUCAGAUGUGCCCAGAUGGGAUUAGCUAGUAGGUGGGGUAAUGGCUCACCUAGGCGACGAUCCCUAGCUGGUCUGAGAGGAUGACCAGCCACACUGGAACUGAGACACGGUCCAGACUCCUACGUGAGGCAGCAGUGGGGAAUAUUUCACAAUGGGCGCAAGCAUGAUGCAGCCAUGCCGCGUGUAUGAAGAAGGCCUUCGGGUUGUAAAGUACUUUCAGCGAGAAGGCGUUACUCGCAGAAGAAGCACCGGCUAACUCCGUGCCAGCAGCUGCGGUAAUAC
rnacentral:rRNA from 1 species